rnacentral:rRNA from 1 species
GAUUAUGGCUCAGGAUGAACGCUGGCGGCGUGCUUAACACAUGCAAGUCGAACGGAGUUUUUAACGGAAGUUUCGGAUGGAAGUUAAAAACUAGUGGCGGACGGGUGAGUAACGCGUGGGUAACCUGCCUCAUACAGGGGGAUAACAGUUAGAAAUGACUGCUAACACCGCAUAAUAUAGCGAAACCGCAUGAUUUUGCUAUCAAAUAUUUAUAGGUAUGAGAUGGGCCCGCGUCUGAUUAGCUAGUUGGUGGGGUAAAAGCCUACCAAGGCGACGAUCAGUAGCCGGCUUGAGAGAGUGACCGGCCACAUUGGGACUGAGACACGGCCCAAACUCCUACGGGAGGCAGCAGUGGGGAAUAUUGGACAAUGGGGGAAACCCUGAUCCAGCGACGCCCGCGUGAGUGAAGAAGUAUUUCGGUAUGUAAAGCUCUAUCAGCAGGGAAGAUAAUGACAGUACCUGACUAAGAAGCCCCGGCUAACUACGUGCCAGCAGCAGC